AUGUCCACCUCCACUGCUGUUUCCACCACCGGCCUCAACUACAAUAUCUCCGAGCCUCUCACCAGGACGAAAUACGUCCUUUGGCGAGCUCAAGCCCGAUCCCAAAUAAUGGGCGCUGACUUGUAUGGCUAUAUUGACAAAACCAUUGAGGAGCCUCCCAAGAACAUCGUCGCAAAGGAUAAAGAGGGCAAGGACCAGGUGGUGCCAAACCCUGCCUACGCCCCCUGGCUAGUCCAGGACCAGUAAAUCGUCGCCUACCUCCUUCGAAACCUCUCCAAAGAGGUCCUCGUCAUUAUGGCAUCGCUGGAGACGUCGCAUGCGAUCUGGACGGUGUUGUCCAACAUGUUUGCGGCGGUCUCCCUCUCUCGAGUCAACAAUCCGCGCGCCGCCCUCACCAACCCCCAGAUGGGCACACAAUCUGCAUCAACAUACUUUGGCUACAUGUGUUCCCUCUCCGACGAGCUUGCGGCGGCAGGGAGACCACUUUGAGAGCCAGAACUCAUCUCUUUCAUUGUUGCCGGUCUGGACAUGGACUAUCAACCACUUAUCUCUGCGCUUGAUGUCUGCACCGAGCCCAUCAUGGUGGAUCUUCUGUUCUCCUUGGUGGCCAACUUUGACCAGCGGGUCGAGUUAUAUCAUGGCAAUGGUUCUGGUUGCUUCAAGUCUUCAGCAAACUCGGCCUCGCGAGGACGACAGGGAGGUAAAGGUGGCUACUGCAACCAGAAAAACGGGGGCGCUGGUGGAUCCCGUGGUGGCGGCCAUGCUGGUGGCAGCGGCGGCUACUCUGGUGGUGGCGGUGGCUACUCUAGUGGCAGCGGCGGCGGCUACUCUGGUGGCGAUGGUGGCUACCAAGGAGGUGGUGCUUCUGGCGGCUACCAAGACAAUGGAGGCUAUAGUGGCGGCGGCCAUCAGGGUGGUGGUGGUGGCGGCUACCAUCACCCCAACAACAGCGGUGGCAACAACAACCAGCGACCCUCCAACAAUAACCGGCGUCCCUUCCAAGGCUAUGAGGGCUAUGAAGGCAAGUGUCAAAUAUGCAAGAAAAAAAAUCAUAUCGCUAAGGAUUGUGAUUGGCGUUAUGCUGAUGACAAUUCCCAAAAAAAAGAAAGUUGCCGCUGCAGCAGAUGGGUCAUAUGGUGUUGA
rnacentral:rRNA from 1 species